rnacentral:rRNA from 1 species
AACGAACGCUGGCGGCAUGCCUAACACAUGCAAGUCGAACGAGACCUCCGGGCCUUGUGGCGCACGGGUGCGUAACGCGUGGGAACCUGCCCUUAGGUUCGGAAUAACUCCCCGAAAGGGGUGCUAAUACAGGAUAAUGUCUUCGGGCCAAAGAUUUAUUGCGGUUGGAUGGGCCCGCGUUGGUUUAGCCGGUUGGUAGGGUAAUAGCCGGUCAAGGCGUCGAUGCAUAGCUGGUGGGUGAGGAUGAUCAGCCACACUGGGACUGCGACACGGCCUAGACUCGGACGGAAGGCAGGAGUGGGGAAUAUUGGAGGAGGGAGGCAGGUCUGAUCACGCAAUGUCGCGUGAGUGAUGAAGGGCUUAGGGUUCUAAAGCUCUUUUACCCGGGAUGAUAAUGACGGUACCGGGUGAAUAAGCUCCGGCUAACUCCGUG